AACGAACGCUGGCGGCAGGCUUAACACAUGCAAGUCGAGCGCCCCGCAAGGGGAGCGGCAGACGGGUGAGUAACGCGUGGGAAUCUACCCAUCUCUACGGAAUAACGCAUGGAAACGUGUGCUAAUACCGUAUACGUCCUUCGGGAGAAAGAUUUAUCGGAGAUGGAUGAGCCCGCGUUGGAUUAGCUAGUUGGGGGGGUAAAGGCCUACCAAGGCGACGAUCCAUAGCUGGUCUGAGAGGAUGAUCAGACACACUGGGACUGAGACACGGCCCAGACUCCUACGGUAGGCAGCAGUGGGGAAUAUUGGACAAUGGGCGCAAGCCUGAUCCAGCCAUGCCGCGUGAGUGAUGAAGGCCCUAGGGUUGUAAAGCUCUUUCACCGGUGAAGAUAAUGACGGUAACCGGAGAAGAAGCCCCGGCUAACUUCGUGCCAGCAGCCGCCGUAAUAC
rnacentral:rRNA from 1 species